rnacentral:rRNA from 1 species
GGAAUCGCUAGUAAUCGCGGAUCAGAAUGCCGCGGUGAAUACGUUCCCGGGUCUUGUACACACCGCCCGUCACACCAUGGGAGCCGGUAAUACCCGAAGUCAGUAGUCCAACCUCGUGAGGACGCUGCCGAAGGUAGGAUUGGCGACUGGGGUGAAGUCGUAACAAGGUAUC